UACGGGAGGCAGCAGUGGGGAAUAUUGCACAAUGGGCGAAAGCCUGAUGCAGCUAUGCCGCGUGUAUGAAGAAGGCCUUAGGGUUGUAAAGUACUUUCAUCGGGGAGGAAAAAACAAAACUAAUAAUUUUAUUUCUUGACGUUACCCGAAAAAGAAGCACCGGCUAACUCCGUGCCAGCAGCCGCGGUAAUACGGAGGGUGCUAGCGUUAAUCAGAAUUACUGGGCGUAAAGAGCACGUAGGUGGUUUUUUAAGUCAGAUGUGAAAUCCCUGGGCUUAACCUAGGAACUGCAUUUUGAAACUGAAAUACUAGAGUAUCGUAGAGGGAGGUAGGAAUUCUAGGUGUAGCGGUGAAAUGCGUAGAUAUCUGGAGGAAUACCUGUGGCGAAAGCGGCCUCCUAAACGAAUACUGACACUGAGGUGCGAAAGCGUGGGGAGCAAAACAGGGAUUAGAUACC
rnacentral:rRNA from 1 species